UACAGAGGGUGCAAGCGUUGUUCGGAAUUAUUGGGCGUAAAGGGAGUGUAGGCGGUGAGUUAAGUCUUCUGUGAAAUCUACGGGCUUAGCCUGUAACGUGCAGAGGAAACUGGCUGACUUGAGUAUCGGAGAGGGCAGGGGAAUACCCAGUGUAGAGGUGAAAUUCGUAGAGAUUGGGUGGAACACCAGUGGCGAAGGCGCCUGCCUGGCUGAUGACUGACGCUGAGACUCGAAAGCAUGGGGAG
rnacentral:rRNA from 1 species